CCUCAGCCUCCCAAAGUACUGGGAUUACAGGUGUGAGCCACCGCACCUGGCCUGUUUUUUUUUUGAGACGGAGUCCCGCUCUGUCACCCAGGCUGGAGUGCAAUGGCGUGAUCUUGGCUCACUGCUGCAACAUCCGCCUUCCAGGUUCAAGCAAUUCUCCUGCCUCAGCCUCCCAAGUAGCUGGGAUUACAGGCAUCUGCCACCAUGCCCAGCUAAUUUUUUGUAUUUUUAGUAGAGACGGGGUUUCACCAUGUUGGCCAGGCUGGUCUCGAACUCCUGACCUCAGGUGAUCCACCAGCCUCGGCCUCCCAAAGUGCUGGGAUUACAGGUGUGAGCCACUACGUCUGGCCCAAAACUAUUUUUUAAAAGAUAUAAAAUGCUCACAAGAGAACACUGUGAAAAUCUCAGGACAUGUAAUUGAGUAUGUAGUAUGAUUUCAUUUAUUUACAAAGGUCUAUGCAUGUGUUUAAAUGCACGUUAUGUAUCAAAAUAUAAACACUGGUUCUCAAGGUUCUCAAAUCAUAAGUGAUUUUAUAAUUUUCUUUAAGAAUGAGCACGUUACUUUUUUUUUUUUGAGACAGUCUUGCCCUGUCGCCCAGGCUGGAGUGCAGUGGCACAAUCUCGGCUCACUGCAAGCUCUGCCUCCCGGAUUCAUGCCAUUCUCCUGCCGCAGCCUCCCAAGUAGCUGGGACUACAGGCGCCCGCCACCACGCCCGGCUAAUUUUUUUUUUGUAUUUUUAGUAGAGACAGGUUUUCACCGUGUUAGCCAGGAUGGUCUCGAUACCCUGACUUCCUGAUCCGCCCGUCUUGGACAUGUUACUUUUAUGGGCAGAAAACAGCACUACAAAGUUGUUUCAGGAAAGUCUGGCUGUGAAGCUGGCAGGAAAGGAGAGAGUGGCUGGGUGAAGAAACCGGGUUGAACAAUGUUUUGUUUUUUUCGGAUGGGAGGUAUCUGAGCAUGACUAAAUCCGGAUGGACAGAGUUGAUAGAGAGGAAGAAUUGCAAAAAGAGCAGAGGGCAUCUGGAGAAAGAGGAGGAGGACACAGUGUCCUGAGGGGGAGGUAAGAGAGGAGGACACAGUGUCCUGAGGGGGAGGUGAGAGAGGGGGACACGGUGCCCUGAGGGGGAGGUGAGAGAGAGGAGGACACAGUGUCUGGAGUGGGAGGUGAGAGAGGAGGACAGUGUCCUGAGGGGGAGGUGAGAGAGAGGAGGACACAGUGUCCGGAGUGGGCGGUGAGAGAGGAGGACACAGUGUCCAGAGUGGGAGGUGAGAGAGGAGGACAGUGUCCUGAGGGGGAGGUGAGAGAGAGGAGGACACAGUGUCCUGAGGGGGAGGUGAGAGAGGAAGACACAGUGUACUGAGGGGGGAGGUGACAGAGGAGGACACAGUGUCCAGAGUGGGGAGAUGACAGAGGGGGACACAAGUGUAUGGAGGGGGGAGAUUAGACUCAGGAAGGGACGGACAAGCUUGUAGGUGUGAUGAGAAAUCAACUGAGGGAAUUCUCAUCAGUGGGUUCCCUUUUCCGGGAAACAGCAAGUUAAAUCAUCUGCUGAGAGGAAGGAAGGAAUGAUGGGAGACUGAGAAGCAUCAAGGCGUGAGCCAGUCACCGUGGAAAUGGAGGAGAAAGCUGACAGGAAUCCGCUGGGCUGCACGUGUGUAACUUCUCUGUCGGCCUCAGCAGCUGGGGCUGGGGUCAGAAGGAACAGAUGCAUGAGCUGAUCUGGGACCAAGAUUCCUCCAGGUGGGUGUGACAGAAGAAGCUCAGAAAAAGAACUAAAAAAACUGAUCAGAUGAUCCUGACUUCUGUAUAUAAAGUUAAGUGGGGCCCCCUUCUUUGACCACCACCAUGGGCAGGUUAGCUAUUAGUAAAGCUGUGUUACACUCUGCGCUUCCCAAGGGUCCUGGCCAUUGCCGCCUACCUAUGCGUCUGAAGAA
rnacentral:lncRNA from 1 species